CAUGAGGGAGAAAACAACAAAACGUCCAAAGAGGUGUGACAACCUUAGGGGUGUGAUGACACACUAUCCCACUGACUCUGAAGUGGCCUCUAUUAGAGAGAAAACAGAAGAGCCUCAUCCUCAGUCCAUACAACCAAAAGAAGACGGCACUCAAUCGCCAUUGCCACACAUGGUCGGGUGAGAGGGGACGUGACUGGACAUCUCAGGACCUGCUUAGUCAAGCAAUGACCCUGGAUCCAAGACAGUGUACGUAACGUCUCUGCAGUCAGCAGGGACUGACAAAGCAUCUGGCUGUCUGGUUUAAGUAAUAGAGCUGUGAAAACAACUCAAAGGGAGCAAAGUGUCGACAAUGCAUCCUUACCAUAUAGAGGAGCAGAGGGUAAGAGGAUAAGAGUACAGAUUAGCGUGUGAAGAGAAGGAAAAAAUGGUAUGAGUAUAAAGAGACGAGAAGAGGGAUAGGAUGCUGGCAGGACACUGCUGCGUCCUCUUUGUCCUUACAUAAAGCCUGUACUACUCUACCUUCUUUACUACUGGAAAAAAAAAGAGUGACAUUGUCCAAAAAAGUGAUGUUUAUAUAAUCGUGUCCAGAUUUUUAUCCUUACUAAGUAAAGAAAGGCCCAC